rnacentral:rRNA from 1 species
AGUGAACGCUGGCGGUAGGCCUAACACAUGCAAGUCGAACGGCAGCACAGUAAGAGCUUGCCCUUACGGGUGGCGAGUGGCGGACGGGUGAGGAAUACAUCGCCAUCUACUUUUUCGUGGGGGAUAACGUAGGGAAACUUACGCUAAUACCGCAUACGACCUACGGGUGAAAGCAGGGGAUCUUCGGACCUUGCCCGAUUGAAUGAGCCGAUGUCGCAUUAGCUAGUUGGCUGGGUAAAGGCACACCAAGGCGACGAUCCGUAGCUGGUCUGAGAGGAUGAUCGGCCACACUGGAACUGAGACACGGUCCAGACUCCUACGGGAGGCAGCAGUGGGGAAUAUUGGGCAAUGGGCGAAAGCCUGAUGCAGCCAUGCCGCGUGGGUGAAGAAGGCCUUCGGGUUGUAAAGCCCUUUUGUUGGGAAAGAAAAGCAGUAGAUUAAAACACCGAUGUUCUGACGGUACCCAAAGAGUAAGCACCGGCUAACUUCGUG